ACUCCAUUGGGGAUGCUCUUAGAA
rnacentral:miRNA from 1 species